AGGGAUCAUUACAGAGUUCCUGCCCUCACGGGUAGAUCUCCCACCCUUGUGUAUUUUUAUGAUGUCUUGUUGCUUUGGCAGGCCGCUGGGCUUCUUCGGCCUGGCCACCGGCUCCCUGGGGGGCUGGUGCGCGCCUGCCAGAGGAUCUCUCAAACUCGGUUUGUUAGUGUCGUCUGAGUACUAUAACAAUCGUUAAAACUUUCAACAACGGAUCUCUUGGUUCUGGCAUCGAUGAAGAACGCAGCGAAAUGCGAUAAGUAAUGUGAAUUGCAGAAUUCAGUGAAUCAUCGAAUCUUUGAACGCACAUUGCGCCCCUUGGUAUUCCGAGGGGCAUGCCUGUUCGAGCGUCAUUUCAACCCCUCAAGCUCUGCUUGGUGUUGGGCAUUCGCCGCUUUCCCGCGGCGGGCCUUAAAAUCAGUGGCGGUGGCCGUCUUAGGCUCUAAGCGUAGUAGUAACCUCUCGCUCUGGAGACCCGGCGGUGACCUGCCAGACAACCUUUUUUACUUUUUUCAAAGGUUUGACCUCGGAUCAGGUAGGGAUACCCGCUGACUUAAG
rnacentral:rRNA from 1 species